rnacentral:rRNA from 1 species
GACGAACGCUGGCGGCGUGCUUAACACAUGCAAGUCGAACGGAAAGGCCCAGCUUGCUGGGUGCUCGAGUGGCGAACGGGUGAGUAACACGUGGGUGAUCUGCCCCUAACUUCGGGAUAAGCUUGGGAAACUGGGUCUAAUACCGGAUAGGACAAUCGUUUAGUGUCGGUGGUGGAAAGUUUUUUCGGUUAGGGAUGAGCCCGCGGCCUAUCAGCUUGUUGGUGGGGUAAUGGCCUACCAAGGCGUCGACGGGUAGCCGGCCUGAGAGGGUGGACGGCCACAUUGGGACUGAGAUACGGACCAGACUCCUACGGGAGGCAGCAGGGGGGAAUAUUGCACAAUGGGCGCAAGCCUGAUGCAGCGACGCCGCGUGGGGGAUGACGGCCUUCGGGUUGUAAACAUCUUUCGACAGGGACGAAGCUUUGGUGACGGUACCUGUAUAAGAAGCACCGGCUAACUACGUG